UGCAUGGCGCCGUCAGCUCGUGUCGUGAGAUGUAGGGUUAAGUCCCGAAACGAGCGCAACCCCUAUUCUAUGUUACAAGUGUCUUAGAAAACCGCUCGGUAAAACGAGGAGGAAGGUGGGGAUGACGUCUGGUCCCGCAUAGCCCUUAUGUCCUGGGCUACACACGCGCUACAAUGGCCGAUACAGUAGGAAGCCAAAUCGUAAGAUGGAGCUAAUCCUUAAAGUCGGUCUCAGUUCGGAUUGAGGUCUGAAAUUCGACCUCAUGAAGUUGGAUUUGCUAGUAAUCGUAGAUCAGCAAUGCUACGGUGAAUACGUUCUCGGGUCUU
rnacentral:rRNA from 1 species